rnacentral:lncRNA from 1 species
CGGGGCGGGGGGGAGAGGGAAGAGGAACUUCGGGUGCUGGAGUGGGGUUGAUGUCCCCUUGCGGUCGCCUGUGCGGUGGUGACAUCGCGCGUGCUGAUUCUUUGCUUUGAGCCCCACCCCCAGUUUGGAAUGUGGCGACGGCUGAAGAGUGGCACACAUCCAUUACCGUGGUUCCCUGAUAACUUCUAACAGUAGUUAGAAAUUGAUCGCUAGUUCCAGAAAGUUUACCUGUGAGCCAGAAACUCACAGCGUUUCAAAUAAUGGGGGUGAAUUAAGAAUUCAUUGGAUUGCUGGGCGGUGGUGGUGCACGCCUUUAAUCCCAGCACUUGGGAGGCAGAGGCAGGCGGAUUUCUGAGUUCGAGGCCAGCCUGGUCUACAGAGUGAGUUCCAGGACAGACAGGGCUACACAGAGAAACACUGUCUCAACCACCACCCCCCCCCCCGGCCCCCAAGAAAGAAUUUAUUGAAUUUUCCCAUGUGCGUGUCUGGGUCAUUGGCUUUGUGGCUUUGCGAAAUUUUUUGGUUGGAGGUCAGCGUUGGACGGUGUCUCAUGCCUGUUAAUACGCGUCCUAUGGUUUCGGCAAAAGGAUUACUGUGUCAUUUGACACCAGGCAUGCUCACGGUACAGACACAACACUUGUUGCUCUUCCAGAGGACCUUGGCUUGCUUCCCAGCACCCCCAU